UGGUGUGUCCCGUUGAAGCUAUGCGUGCA
rnacentral:piRNA from 1 species